rnacentral:rRNA from 1 species
CCUACGGGUGGCAGCAGUGAGGAAUAUUGGUCAAUGGACGAGAGUCUGAACCAGCCAAGUAGCGUGAAGGAUGACUGCCCUAUGGGUUGUAAACUUCUUUUAUAUGGGAAUAAACUGUUCCACGUGUGGGAUUUUGUAUGUACCCUAUGAAUAAGGAUCGGCUAACUCCGUGCCAGCAGCCGCGGUAAUACGGAGGAUCCGAGCGUUAUCCGGAUUUAUUGGGUUUAAAGGGAGCGUAGGUGGAUUGUUAAGUCAGUUGUGAAAGUUUGCGGCUCAACCGUAAAAUUGCAGUUGAAACUGGCAGUCUUGAGUACAGUAGAGGUGGGCGGAAGUCGUGGUGUAGCGGUGAAAUGCUUAGAUAUCACGAAGAACUCCGAUUGCGAAGGCAGUUCACUGGACUGCAACUGACACUGAGGCUCGAAAGUGGGGGUAUCAAACAGGAUUAGAUACCCCAGUAGUC